rnacentral:rRNA from 1 species
UACGGAGGGUGCAAGCGUUAUCCGGAUUCACUGGGUUUAAAGGGCGUGUAGGUGGUUGCGUAAGUCUGGCGUGAAAUUUUUCGGCUUAACCGGGAAAGGUCGUCGGAUACUGCGUAGCUAGAGGACGGUAGAGGCGUGUGGAAUUCCGGGUGUAGUGGUGAAAUGCGUAGAGAUCCGGAGGAACACCAGUGGCGAAGGCGACACGCUGGGCCGUACCUGACGCUGAGUGCGCGAAAGCCAGGGGAGCAAACGGG